rfam:Glycine max cultivar Williams 82 chromosome 19, whole genome shotgun sequence.
GAUUCAUUUGCUUAGUUGAUUAGAGUGUUAUGUUAAUAAUUUAAAGGUCACAAGUUCGAGUCAUGUUUGGAUCA